AUACGGAGGAUGCAAGCGUUAUCCGGAUUUAUUGGGUUUAAAGGGUGCGUAGGCGGUUUGCUAAGCGGGAGGUGAAAUGCCGGCGCUCAACGUCGGAAGUGCCUCCCGAACUGGUGGACUUGAAUGACUCUGCCGUGGGAGGAAUGUGUAGUGUAGCGGUGAAAUGCUUAGAGAGUACACAGAACACCGAUUGCGAAGGCAUCUCACGAAGGGUUGAUUGACGCUGAGGCACGAAAGCGUGGGGAUCAAACAGGAUUAGAGACCCUGGUAGUCCACGCAGUAAACGAUGAUGGCUAACCGCUGGUUUAUUCGGAUCAGUGGCCAAGCGAAAGCGAUAAGCAAUCCACCUGGGGAGUACGACCGCAAGGUUGAAACUCAAAGGAAUUGACGGGG
rnacentral:rRNA from 1 species